AACCUGCGGCCCGGAUCAUUA
rnacentral:rRNA from 1 species